rnacentral:rRNA from 1 species
UACGUAGGGUGCGAGCGUUGUCCGGAAUUACUGGGCGUAAAGAGCGUGUAGGCGGCCAUGUAGGUCCGUUGUGAAAACUCGAGGCUCAACCUCGAGACGCCGAUGGAAACCAUGUGGCUAGAGUCCGGAAGAGGAGAGUGGAAUUCCUGGUGUAGCGAUGAAAUGCGCAGAUAUCAGGAGGAACACCGGUGGUGUAGACGGCUUUCUGGACCGUAACUGACGCUGAGACACGAAAGCGUGGGUAGCAAACAGG